rnacentral:rRNA from 1 species
GACGAGGCACACGAACGUUAUUCGGAAUUACUGGGCUUAAAGGGUGCGUAGGCUGCGCGGAAAGUUGGGUGUGAAAUCCCUCGGCUCAACCGAGGAACUGCGCCCAAAACUGCCGUGCUCGAGGAAGAUAGAGGUAAGCGGAACUUACGGUGGAGCGGUGAAAUGCGUUGAUAUCGUAAGGAACACCUGUGGCGAAAGCGGCUUACGGGGUCUUUUCUGACGCUGAUGCACGAAAGCUAGGGGAGCAAACGGG